UUGUUUCGUUUUUUUAGUUUGUUUUCACACAGGUCUCCCUCUGUCACCCAGGCUGGAGUGUGGCAGUGCCAUCAUAGGUCACUGUAGCUUCGAACUCUUGGGCUCAAGUGAUCUUCCUGCCUCAGCUUCCUGCGUAGCUGGGAAUACAGGCACACACUACCAGACCUGGAUAAUUUUUCAUUUUUUGUUGAGAUGGGGUCUCACUAUGUUGCCCAGGCUGGUCUCAAAUUCUGAGCUGAAGAGAUCCUUUGGCCUCGGCCUCCCAGAAUGCUUGGAUUACAGGUGUAAGCCACCACACCUGGCUCAAAAUAGUUCUUUUUUGAAACCUAGUCAGAAGAGAGACAAUAUGGAAAAUACUUGCUUUUCCUAAACUAGGAGCAUAUAUGCAAAUCAACUGAGGUAUGAUUGCCCUGGAAAAGCCAACUGUUUAAAAUAACCUGCUCCCACGCAAGGGCUGUUGCCAGAAUACUGUAAUACCUUUGUUCUCUUUCAGCUUACAUGUCAAAAGAUGUUAUAACCAUUCUUGUCAAAACAGAAGUGGUUAGGGCAGCCUGCUCACGGUUUGUUUUCACUGCACGGGCCCUCGCCUUGGCUGGUAAUGCACAGGGGACCACAAGGUGGCAGUCAAGCCCUUUCAAAUGGCCUCUGGGGUGGUCUGAAGCCCGAUAACUGAAUCUCAUUGUAGAUUCAAAGCACCUGAGUGUUAGGAGUAAGGCUUUGCUUCUGAGUGUGAUGGAUUUUGUUAUUCCUGAUUUGAGGGAAUGUGGGAAAAUGAUCGCAGACAGUUUUCAAGUUUAAGUGUGAAAUUGCUUAGCUGCAGCCAAUAGCUGAAUCCUGUAUAAUACCUCCUGAUUAUCUUGCGGGAAGAGCACUUGGUCCCCAGAAGAUGAUUUCUAGUGACAGAAGCUGCUUAUGGGAAUACAUUCUCAUUGACUUGGUAGAGAAUUGGAUGAGGACUUUAGCUCUAUUUAGGAUCUAUAGCUGACACAUGAACUCUUCAAUUCUUCUUCAGAGCAAAUUUCUUUAUGUUGGUCUUCCAGGUUGUAUUUUCCUACUUGUAGGUUGGUGGCAAUACACAUUAGGUAGGGUUCAUACAAGGAUAAAGUAAGAGUAUAAUGUCACACUUAUUUAGUGCCCGGCUCAAUACAUGUUCAGUAAAUGCUAUUAUUGUACUAAAACAUAUAGAGUUAUUAUUUAAAGGUCUAAUACCGGGGGAGCAUUUAAAUUCCGGUCUCCAGACCUCUCCUCAGAUCAAGUAAAUCAGAACCUCUGGUGGCACAGUCUGGAUGACUAUAUUUUGUUAAAUGUCCCCAGGUGGUUCUGAUGUACAGGGGUUGGGAACUGCUGUUCUGGAGACACUGACAAAGCUGGUGGCAGUAGACAGUUCAUGAGGUCUAAGCCAGAAUUUGCCAAAAAAUCUUCCACUGAGUGUCCAUAAGAUGUUCCAUAAAAGAUGGGUAUGGCUGGGUGCGGUGGCACACACCUGUAAUCCCAGCACUUUUGGAGACCAAGGUGGGCGGAUCACGAGAUCAGGAGAUGGAGACCAGCCUGACCAACAUGGUGAAACCCCAUCUCUACAAAAGAUACAAGAAAGAUACAAAGAUCAGCUGGGCGUGGUGGCACAUGCCUAUAGUCCCAAUCACUUGGGAGGCUGAGGCAGGAGAAUUGCUUGAACCUGUAGGCAGAAAUUGCAGUGAGCUGAGAUUGCACCACUGCACUCCAGCCUGGCGACAGAGAGAGAGAGACUCCAUCUCAAAACAAAACAAAAAAAGAGUGACUUGAGAAAUACUGCCUUAAGUCAAUUUAAAGCAAGUUUAUUGCAGGACUUCUCAGCAUCUUUGAUAUGUGUGUAUUGUGAAUCUCUAAACAGGAAGAUGUCAUAUGCACUGUAUGCAAGUUUAUUUGACUAUGGAAUCUUUUCUUCAACAGGUGUGAGGAUUGGUGUUGCAAGAAUCCCACUCCAGGCAGGCUGCUGUAAACUUUUGCGGUAGCUACAGCCCCCUUCUGGGGAAAAGGGGACCAGGCAGUUCCUUCACCAUACAGUUGUUGAGGUCAGUUGCAUCUUAUUUGUUGAGUUAAAUCAACUGUGCUAGCUAAUCAUUGUUAAUGGAACCAGGAAUCAGCAGCUGAGCCAAAGUUUAUCCAAUCAAGAGGCUGCAAGAUAAAUGACCCAUCCAGAGCCAUUCUGCUGGGAACAUUUGAAGGUGAGAUACAAAGAGACUGCCAAAGUUCCUGGGAUAAAGACACCAGAUCUGAGCUACUGGGCUCCUCCUGUACAGGGUACAGUUACAAGACACUUUCCAGUUAUCCAUGAAGCCACUAGUACAUUUAGGUUAUGGAUUGGAUUAGCUCAUUUUUGCAAUCUGGAAGAACUUCACUGCUAUAGCAACGCCAACACUGCAGGUAUUAUUCUUCCCAUACUACGCCAUGGAGAUGCAAGCAAACUGAGAUUGAGGGACCUGGACCUCUGUUGUCUUACUCCAAGUUGAAUGCCAGCCAGUUACAUCACUAUGUUGUUGCCUCUGAAGCUGAGGUCAUUCACUCAGCAGGACAAGAGCAGGUAAAAAGUAAUUGUAGUUUUCAGCAAAAUCUGGAAAAUAAAUGGCAAGGGCACAAUUCAGUUGAAGUGUCUCCUGCCUUGGGUGGAAAUCUAAGUUGGGGUGCAGUGUUAAGUAAAGGUGCCAGCAAAAGCAGGCCAGUUUGAUAUAGGCCAUUGGAUGAGGAAUCAGCAGGUAGGAGAUGAAGUUAAAGGUGACUGUUGCAAGUCCCAGAAGAAAACCCGAAGUUAAGACCUGUAAAUAAAGCAGGUGAGAAGUGAAAUGAGAGGAGUAUUAGGGACAUACUGAACAGACCUGAUACAAGGCAGGGAAAGGCCAGGAUUAACAUUUGAAAGCCAGCUAAAAGGAGGCAGGAUGUGGAAGAAAAUGGAAAAACGAAGGAGACAAGUAAACAUUGUCCACAGCAAUACUUCAAAUCCUUAAGGCAGGUGGAAAAUGGGGAGAAAAGAGAGCAAGCACUUAUUCACAGCAAGAGCAAUUCUGCAUUGAUAGAAAAAUGUAAAUCCUCUAGAAAAGUAUCUAUGUCUACGUAUCAUUUUUCAAAUAUUCAAGUGAUAUUCAGCCAUACGGUGGGAAGGAAUUUACACAUGAGGCUUUUAGAAGUGUUUAUGGCUCACCUUGAAGAAAUGAGACUGAGAAGUUUUCCUCCUCCAGUUGCUACAAGUGCUUUUCUGUAAAAUUCAAAGAUGUGAUGAUGGAGCAUCUCAUAGUACAUCAUGACCAGAUUCUGAGAUGGAAUUUUGGUUUGCCCUGUCAGGUAUCGCUAUGCAAAUACAUCGCCUUCAGAAAUCAUUUGGUUAUUCUAUCAUAUUUACUUUUUACUAGAUUAUGCAUUCCUGGAGAGUCUUGCUUUUGCAAUUCAGACAGCAGUCUAUUGGAAGGAAGAGUUUUAUGGUGGAUGCUACAUGGUGCAAGCAGUAAAUCUAGAGGACAAGGGGAUAGAAGUCACACCCAGAGAAAGGGGCCCAUUCUUGGAUGGUUUUGCUUUUAAACUAGUGAAAGGUGCCACUAGCUGGGAAAUAUGCUCUCCUUUAUCUUCUUCUUCUUGCUCUCUUCCUCCUCCUUUUUAAUUCUAAUAGCACUUAAAAAUCUGUGAUGUAAAAGUCUGCUUUCUUGUUGGAACUUCAUAGCACCUCUCAGCAAGGAAUCCUGCAGAAGUGUCUUGACUAUGUGCUUCUUAGGUAACAGCCUCUCUUCCAAGUGAAGACCCAUGAGAUAAGACAUCAUAGCAGAUUUUGGACUUACGCUGUUGGGAUAUGUGCCUGAUCUUUGGAAGAAAACCCAAAUUAGUCAGAAGAUAACACCUGCUUCACCCAUUGAACCAUCUUGACAUCCACCAAGAGUGUUCGGUAAGGUAGUGAUGUUUGGCAAAUGCAUGCAGAUGACAUCUUGGCAGAAAUUAGAGGGGUUUUGCAGAGUCAUGAGGAGCAGCAGUGUGGGAGAUGGGCGAAAGUAGAGGCUCUGACCUCAAAUUGGCCCCUUUUUACAUGUGUACCUAAGGAAAACCACUUAAGCUCAUUGAUCCUCAGGUUUCUCACCUGUAAAUGGACGCUGUUAAGGGACCCAACCUCAUCAGGUGGUUGUGAGGAGCUAUUUGGUCAUUCUGGGUAUGAGGCACUCUGCUGAGAACACAACGGUGAGGAACAGGGGAGACUGACAUUGGGCCGAUCAUCACACAAGUGAGGGUUUGUAAGGACAAAGGGAGAUAAGUGCCCUGAAGGGAAGGAACAUGUUGCUAAAAGGAAAACCUUAGCCACAUUAAAUUUAACAGAGUUUAAUUGAGCAAAGGACUUUCGGGAAUCAGGCAGUCUCUGGAGCCAGCGUAGGCUCAGAGAGGCUCCAGCACAGCCACGUGGUGGAAGAUUUGUAGACAGAAAAGGGAAAGUGAUGAACAGAAAGCUGAAGUGAGGUAAAGAAACAGCCAGAUUAGUUACAGCAUGGUGUUUGCCUUGUUUUAACAUGGUUUAAACAGUUGGCCCCCUUUGAUUGCCCCUGUGAUUGGCACAAGAGUAGGCUAUAAUCUGUUUACACCUCCAUCUAGGAUGCACUUUCCUAUGUACAUAGAAACCUUUAGACUGAACUUAAAAUAUGUGAGGAGACAGCUUUAGGCUAAAUUUUGUUUUUGAGACAGGGUCUCUUUGUGUCAUCCUGGCUGGAGCACCGUGGCACGAUCACUGCUCACUGAAGCCUCAACCUCCUGGGCUCAAGUGAUCUCCCAUCUCAGCCUCCCCAGUAUCUGGGACUACAGGCAUGUGUUACCAUGCCUGGCUAAUUUUUUUUCUGUUUUUAGUAGUGAUGGGGUUUCACCAUGUCACCCAGGCUGGUCUUGAACUCCUGGACUCAAGCCGUCCUCCUGCCUUGGCCUCCCACAGUGCUGGGAUUACAGGUGUGAGCCAUCAUGCCCAGUCUAGGCUAAACUCAACAAUCUUCCUGACCAAGAGAAACUUUAGACUGAGGCGCAGAGCAGUCGGGGGAGCUACUUCCCAGUGAUAUGUAAGAAAACACACGUAAUGCCUGACACCUGGUAAGGCCUCAAUAAACAGCAAGGCGGCAGGGAGAAGAGGAGGAGGAGGAAGAGGAGGAAGAAGAUGCAGACAUAUAGGAAGCCAAGGCCAUGUGCACCUGUACCCAGAGAAACCUUUGGGUGCAUGUGGUAGAGAAGGCCCCUUCCUGGAAACCAGAGAAGGCCCCGGAGUCUUAAUGAAGGUCCAAGACUGCCUUUUAAAUGCAAGAAAAAAUGUUCUUUACACAAAUGUCCUUGGAGUUAUCCCAGCCUUUUCUGAUGGAAUGAAAGAUGAUGAUAAAAACUACACUGGCUCAAAUUCAUAGAGAAGGGAUAACUGCAAGAACUGCAAAGGAGGAUGGGAUCAGAACUGCCAUGAUGAGCACAGCUCACACUGAAGAAUGAACUCUGCAUCAGCUUUGGAAAGGUGACCCUCUCUCCUUCAGAGUAAUUGAACUGAUAGAGGCUUUUCUCUACCUGUUACCACAUGCUGUGUGGGCAUUAAUGGUGAAGCCCCCGAUGCUAACUUCUAAAGUGAUGGAGAAUUGUCUUGCCAUAUUAUGUGCAGUCUGAAGGGGUACCCACUGGCCCAAACCCAAAAGCAAAUUCUUUCCUAAUGACUUUUAUUUGUUAACAGUCUUUCUGCCCUUACUGAAGCAAAAGGGAGGCCCUGAUCAUGGGUGGAGGCCACAGAGAAAGGAGACGGGUUAGAUGACAUUUCCCUGGACCUGAGCAUGCACCCUCUCAGUUCUCUGGAGAGGAGCUGGUGUCAGGAUGGGGGCUUGAAGGA